rnacentral:rRNA from 1 species
AUUGAACGCUGGCGGCAUGCCUUACACAUGCAAGUCGAACGGCAGCGGGGACUUCGGUCCGCCGGCGAGUGGCGAACGGGUGAGUAAUGUAUCGGAACGUACCAUUGAGUGGGGGAUAACGUAGCUAAAGUUACGCUAAUACCGCAUAUUCUCUCCGGAGGAAAGCAGGGGACCGCAAGGCCUUGCGCCCUUCGCGCGGCCGAUAUCAGAUUAGCUAGUUGGUGAGGUAAAGGCUCACCAAGGCGACGAUCUGUAGCGGGUCUGAGAGGAUGAUCCGCCACAAUGGAACUGAGACACGGUCCAGACUCCUACGGGAGGCAGCAGUGGGGAAUUUUGGACAAUGGGGGAAACCCUGAUCCAGCCAUGCCGCGUGAGUGAAGAAGGCCUUCGGGUUGUAAAGCUCUUUCGGCCGGGAAAAAAUCGCAUGGGCUAAUAUCCUGUGUGGAUGAUGGUACCGGAAUAAGAAGCACCGGCUAACUACGUGCCAGCAGCCGCGGUAACAC